rnacentral:rRNA from 1 species
GUGAACGCUGGCGGUAGGCCUAACCCAUGCCCGUCGCACGGCAGCACAGUAAGAGCUUGCUCUUACGGGUGGCGAGUGGCGGACGGGUGAGGAAUACAUCGGAAUCUACUUUUUCGUGGGGGAUAACGUAGGGAAACUUACGCUAAUACCGCAUACGACCUACGGGUGAAAGCAGGGGAUCUUCGGACCUUGCGCGAUUGAAUGAGCCGAUGUCGGAUUAGCUAGUUGGCGGGGUAAAGGCCCACCAAGGCGACGAUCCGUAGCUGGUCUGAGAGGAUGAUCAGCCACACUGGAACUGAGACACGGUCCAGACUCCUACGGGAGGCAGCAGUGGGGAAUAUUGGACAAUGGGCGCAAGCCUGAUCCAGCUAUACCGCGUGGGUGAAGAAGGCCUUCGGGUUGUAAAGCCCUUUUGUUGGGAAAGAAAAGCAGCAGGUUAAUACCCCGCUGUUCUGACGGUACCCAAAGAAUAAGCACCGGCUAACUUCGUG